GAGUGACUUUAAAAUGUGAAAAAUUUAAAUGAAUAUAAAUCCUAAAUACACCCCAUAAUGUCCUCAAUGAGCUUAAAUUUUAAAGCCCUGAAUGGUUUCUGUAGGUCAAAGGUCAUGUGAGGAGAUAGGGGCUGAAGUUUUUUCAAGCGCUCUAGGAAAGGGUUUUAAGUGUCAUCCCCAGUGCUAUGUGUACUGAGCCUGGCUUCAUGUGUCUCAUAUGGCCAUUAGAAGCAGCUUUCCAGUCAGCUGUGUGUCUCCAGGUGCACUAAUUGGUUGCCAUGGGGACCUUGGAUGCAUAACUAUAGCAGGAGAAAGAAGGCUUGAAGCUAAGGAAACAGGACUCCAAGUAGGCCCUGACGCUCAUCCUCUGUAUCUAUUCCUGAUAAGGAGCUUGUGAGAACACAAGACUCUGCUAAACACAUUAAUACAAUUUAUUAUCACAAUCCUCAAAACACCCCAUAAUAUCUUCAAUGAGCUGAAUUUUAGAAGCCCAGAAUGGUUUCUGUAGCUCAAAGUUUGUGGGUGGAGAUAGGUGGUGAAGCAGACACAUAUUAACUGUGUGUACAAGCAGCUGAACUGCAAGGUAGACCUCAUAAAGCAACAAGUACAAGAAUGUGUGUGUGUGUGUGUGUGUGUGUGUGUGUCUCGUUAAUGACUGCAUCCUAAACAGCUGUGAGAUCAAAGGCAAAUCACUGACCUACUGUUUGAAUGAGAAGCAGCUGAACUGCAGAGGAUUUAGAGGCUCUAAACUUCUUCACAUAGCGUGAUUUCCUUAAGUCACAGAAUGAAAAUAAGAACAUCGUACGAAUCCUCCGCCCUUCAUGAACACAAUGAAGUAUUUUUCAUGUCUGUACUCCGACAGAUGUGGCCACAACAGCGAGUUAAAAAAGUCUGAGCCUGAGCGAUGAUCCGGAUUUUCUUGGAGAAAAUUAACAUUACGGUCAAUGGGAGAGAUUUCCGCCUUCUUUGGACAGUUGGUCACCUGCUGGCCAAGGGGUACGAUUUAAUGAUUUGAAACCUCUUUUGUGAGAAGCAGGACACAUAUACCUCCAUUUUGAUGUAUUAUUUGUGUCAGUGGAGUGAGAUUUGUGGGCGUGGGAGCGAUAUAUUCGAGCGAGGUUCUGUCGAUCAGAGACGAGGUCUGCACUCUAGCUGAUGACAUCAUCACUCUAAACUCUCCAAUACACACCCAUUAUAAAGCCUGAAAUUUGCUGAAAACCACAAGUUGCUUAAAGCUAAAUUGUGGAAAAACUGUAAGAGAUAUAAAAAAACUGAGUACAACUUUAAUAGUCGACAAGUGAAUGAACAUUUUAAAGCAAAAAUGAGGUCUCUAGGUGAAAGUAUGCUGAAGUUAUAAGGUCUAGAAGGUGGAAGAAUAAAAGGAAGAAUUGGAAGAUUUCCCCAUUGACUUCAAUGUUAAAAUUUUUGCACAAAAAGUUAAAAAAAACAAAAAGUAUAAAUGUUAGAAAAGUGAAAAGUAAUAGCAAACGUGUCCUGAAGGAGUGGAAUAGUUUAAAGUUUGAACGGUUGAAAUCGCACAAACUGGGAAGGAGUUGAAAGCGGACGAAAAACGGCGGAAGAAUAAUAAUAAUAAUAAUAAUAAUAAUAAAGAAACGGGAGAAUAACAAUAAGUGGAAAUGCCUAUCAGCAUUUCCACUUAAUAAUAAAGAAACGGGAGAAUAACAAUAAGUGGAAAUGCCUAUCAGCAUUUCCACUUAAUAAAGAAACGGGAGAAUAACAAUAAGUGGAAAUGCUUAAUCAGCAUUUCCACUUAACUAGAAAAAUUGCAUUUCCUUGCAGAAAAUGCGUGGAAAUGCUGAGUGCUGAAAGCUGAAAAAGCAAUGCUAAACUGCUAAUAAAACAUGGAGAAAGGUAUAAAUGUAAAAGCUGUUGAAGGGGGGAAAAAAUAUAUAAGUUAAAUAAUUGUAAAUAAGAGGUUGGAGAAUAAAUAGUACGAAUAUGCUCCUCAAAUUGAAAUUUGAUUCAUGCUGAAAGAGGCUGGAAAUUUUUUUACAAUUACACAAAGUUUGAAUGAAGAAGUAAAUUACCUUAAAAGGCAAGUACGUGAGAAGUGGCAUAAGUUUAAGUUGUAGUACUAGAAGUAGUAUGAUAAUAGGUAGUUGUAGUAGUGAUAUUAGUAGUCAUGUAAGCAGUAGAAGUAGUUUUAGAAUAGAAGAAGUAGAAGUCAAAGCAGUAGAGCUCGUGGUAGAAGUAAGAGUAGAAGUAAAAAAAUAUUAAGAGAAGCAAGAGCAGUGGAGGUAGAAGUGAAGAUACAAGUUAAGGUGACAUAAGUAGUAAUUGUAGUGGUAGAACUGGGAUUUUGCUUGAAGAAUCAAAACAUACAUAAAUAAUGAGAAUGAUUUUGAAGUGGGAAAAACUUUAAAUAAUUAGACGUCCUAAUGUGUUAAACAGGUUUGAAGUAUCCGAAAGGUUUGAAUCAGUUUGAAUGAGUUUGGAUUUGUCUGAAGCAUUUAAUAAUGCAUGAAUAAUGAGAAUAAUUUUAAAGUGGGAAAAAGUUAAAUGAAUAAAAAUCCUGAGUACACCCCAUAUUGUCCUCAAUGAGCUGAAUAUUUGGAAGCCCUGAAUGGUUUCUGUAGCUCAAAGUUUGUAGUCCUCGCUUUGUGGGUCUUUUCUCAUAGACCUCACAAGGCAGCAAGUACAAGAAUGUGUGUGUGUGUGUCUCUCCUUAAUGACUGCAUCCUAAACAGCUGUGAGAUCAAAGGCAUUAACUGACCAACUGUUUGACUGAGAAGCUCCUUAAGUGCAGUGAAUUUAUUGCCUCUGAACUUCUUCACAUAGCGUGAUUUCCUUAAGUCCAAGAAUGAAAAUAAGAACAUCGUACGAAUCCUCCGCCCUUCAUGAACACAAUGAUGUGUUUUUCAUGUCUGUACUCCAAGAAAUGUGGCCACAACAGCGAGUUAAAAAAGUCUGAGCCUGAGUGGCGAUAAGGAUUUUCUUGCAGAAAAAAUACAUUAGGGCUAAUGGGAGAGAUUUCCGCCUAUUUGAACAGUUGGUCACCUGCUGGCCAAGGGGUAGGAUUAAAUGAUUUGAAACCUCUUUUGUGAGAAGCAGGACACAUAUACCUCCAUUUUGAUGUAUUUUUUAUGUCUGUGGAGUGAGAUUUGUAGGCGUGGGAGCGAUAUAUUCGAGCGAGGUUCUGUCGAUCAGAGACGAGGUCUGCACUCUAGCUUUUCAAAUCCUCACUCUAAACUCUCCAAUACACACCCAUUAUAAAGCCUGAAAAUUUGCUGAAAACCACAAGUUGCUUAAAGCUAAAUUGUUGUGGAAGAACUGUAAAAGAUAUCAAAAAACUGACUACAACUGUAAUAGUCGACAAGACAAUGAACAUUUUAAAGCAAAAAUGAGGUCUCUAGGUGAAAGUAUGCAGAAGUUACAAGGUUCAGAAGGUGGAAGAAUAACAGGAAGAAUUGGAAGAUUUCCCCAUUGACUUCAAUGUUAAAAUUUUUGCAUAAAAAGUUAAAAAAAUCAAAAAGUAUAAAGGGUAGAAAAGUGAAAAGUAAUCGCCGUCAUGUCCUGAAGGAGAGGAAUAGUUUAAAGUUUGAACGGUUGAAAUCGCACAAAGUGGAGAAGAGUUAUAAAGUGCCAAAAAAUGGCGGAAGAAAAAUAAUAAUAAUAAUAAUAAUAAUAAAGAAACAGGAGAAUAACAAUAAGUGGAAAUGCCUAUCAGCAUUUCCACUUAACUAGAAAAAUUGCAUUUCCUUGCAGAAAAUGCGUGGAAAUGCUGAGUGCUAAAGCUGAAAAAGCAAUGCUUAAACUGCUAAUAAAACAUGGAGAAAGGUAUAAAUGUUAAAGCUGUUGAAGUAAUGAAAAAGAAAUAUAAGUUGGAUAAUGGUUUCAUUGGUUGAAGGACAAAUAGUAUGAAUAUGCUCUAUAAAAGGAAAUUUGAUUCAUGCUGAAUGAGGCUAGAAAAAUGUCUAAAAUUGCACAAAGUUUGAAUGAAGAAGGAAAUUGCCUUAAAAGGCAGGAAGGUGAGAAGUGGCAUUAGUUUAAGUUGUAGUACUAGAAGUAGUAUGAUAAGAGGUCAAGUCGUGAUACUAGUAGUCGUGUCAGCAGUAGAAGUAGUUUGAGAAUAAAAGAAGUAUAAGUCAAAAUAGUAGAGAAAGUAGAAACAGUAGCAAUAGCAGUUGAAGUAGAGAAAGUAGAAAUAGGAGCAAUAGCAGUUGAAGUAGAGGGGAAAGUACUAGUUAAAUUGACAUUAGCAGUAGUUGUCGUACUUGAGGUAGGAUUUUGUUUGAAGGAUGGAGUAAUGCAUGAAUAUUAAAACUAAUUUAAAACAUGGAAAAUUUAAAUACUUUAAAAUCCUCAAGUAUCAGUUUGAAUGAGUUUAAAUUAGUUUGAAAAAUUAAAUGAUAAAUCAUCACUGACUGACUUUUAAAAUGUGAAAAAUGUAAAUGAAUAUAAAUCCUGAAUACACCCCAUAAUGUCCUCAAUGAGCUUAAAUUUUAAAGCCCUGAAUGGUUUCUGUAGGUCAAAGGUCAUGUGAGGAGAUAGGGGCUGAAGUUUUUUCCAACGCUCUAGGAAAGGGUUUUAAGUGUCAUCCCCAGUGCUAUGUGUACUGAGCCUGGCUUCAUGUGUCUCAUAUGGCCAUUAGAAGCAGCUUUCCAGUCAGCUGUGUGUCUCCAGGUGCACAAAUUGGUUGCCAUGGGGACCUUGGAUGCAUAACUAUAGCAGGAGAAAGAAGGCUUGAAGCUAAAGAAACAGGACUCCAAGUAGGCCCUGACGCUCACCCUCUGUAUAUAUUCAUAAGGAGCUUGUGAGAACACAAGACUCUGCUGAACACAUUAAUACAAUUUAUUAUCACAAUCCUCAAAACACCCCAUAAUAUCUUCAAUGAGCUGAAUUUUUCAAGCCCAGAAUGGUUUCUGUAGCUCAAAGUUUGUGGGUGGAGAUAGGUGGUGAAGCAGACACAUAUUAACUGUGUGUACAAGCAGCUGAACUGCAAGGUGGACCUCAAAAAGCAACAAGUACAAGAAUGUGUGUGUGUGUGUGUGUGUGUCUCGUUAAUGACUGCAUCCUAAACAGCUGUGAGAUCAAAGGCAAAUCACUAACCUACUGUUUGACUGAGAGGUGCUGAACUGCAGUGAAUUUCAGCCUGUGAACUUCUUCACAUAGCGUGAUUUCCUUAAGUCCCAGAAUGAAAAUAAGAACAUCGUACGAAUCCUCCGUCCUUCAUGAACACAAUGAUGUGUUUUUCAUGUCUGUACUCCGAAAAAUGUGGCCACAACAGCGAGUUAAAAAAGUCUGAGCCUCAGUGGCGAUAAGGAUUUUCUUGGAGAAAAAAUACAUUAGGGCCAAUGGGGAGAGAUUUCCGCCUAUUUGGACAGUUGGUCACCUGCUGGCCAAGGGGUAGGAUUUAAUGAUUUGAAACCUCUUUUGUGAGAAGCAGGACACAUAUACCUCCAUUUUGAUGUAUUUUUUAUGGCUGUGGAGUGAGAUUUGUGGGCGUGGGAGCGAUAUAUUUGAGCGAGGUUCUGUCGAUCAGAGACGAGGUCUGCACUCUAGCUUUUCAAAUCAUCACUCUAGCCUCUCCAAUACACCCCUAUUAUAAAGCCUGAAAUUUGCUGAAAACCACAAGUUGCAUAAAGCUAAAUUGUGGAAAAACUGUAAAAGAUAGCACCAAGAGGUUAAUACAACAUCAAUAGUCGACAAGACAAUGAACAUUUUAAAGCAAAAAUUAGGUCUCUAGGUGAAAGUAUGCUGAAGUUAUAAGGUGUAGAAGGUGGACGAAUAACAGGAAGAAUUGAAAGAUUUCCCCAUUCAUUUCUAUGGGGAAAAAAGUUUGGCACAAAAAGUGAAAAAUAAUAAAAAGUAUAAAGGGUAGAAAAGAGAAAAGUAAUAGCCAUCAUGUCCUGAUGGAGCGGAAUAGUUUAAAGUUUGAACGGUUGAAAUCGGACAAAGUUUGAAGGAGGAGAAGCGGUCCAAAGAAACGUAUGGGGAGAGUGUUAAGUAUAAUACUAGAAAAAUUGCAUUUCCUUGCAGAAAAUGCGUGGAAAUGCUGAGUGCUGAAAGCUGAAAAAGCAAUGCUAAACUGCUAAUAAAACAUGGAGAAAGGUAUAAAUGUUAAAGCUGUUGAAGGAAUGAAAAAGAAAAAUAAGUUGGAUAACUACUUAAUUGGUUGAAGGACAAAUAGUAUGAAUAUGCUCUAUAAAAGGAAAUUUUAUUCAUGCUGAAAGAGGCUAGAAAAAUGUCUAAAAUUGCACAAAGUUUGAAUGAAGAAGGAAAUUGCCUUAAAAGGCAGGAAGGUGAGAAGUGGCAUAAGUUUAAAUUGUAGUAUAAGAAGUCAAGUCGUGAUACUAGUAGUCAUGUCAGCAGUAGAAGUAGAUUGAGAAUAAAAGAAGUAUAAGUCAAAGUAGUAAAGAAAGUAGAAAUAGGAGCAAUAGCAGUUGAAGUAGAGGGGAAAGUUCUAGUUUAAUUGACAUUAGCAGUAGUUGUCGUACUUGAGGUAGGAUUUUGUUUGAAUGAUGGAGUAAUGCAUAAAUAUUAAAACUAAUUUAAAACAGGGAAAUUUUAAAUUAUCAAAAGUCCUCAAGUAUCAGAAAGUUUUGAAGUAUUAGAAAGGUUUGAAUCAGUUUGAAUGAGUUUAAAUUAGUUUGAAAAAUUAAAUGAUAAAUCAUCACUGAGUGACUUUUAAAAUGUGAAAAAUUUAAAUGAAUAACAAUCCUAAAUACACCCCAUAAUGUCCUCAAUGAGCUUAAAUUUUAAAGCCCUGAAUGGUUUCUGUAGGUCAAAGGUCAUGUGAGGAGAUAGGGGCUGAAGUUUUUUCAAGCGCUCUAGGAAAGGGUUUUAAGUGUCAUCCCCAGUGCUAUGUGUACUGAGCCUGGCUUCAUGUGUCUCAUAUGGCCAUUAGAAGCAGCUUUCCAGUCAGCUGUGUGUCUCCAGGUGCACAAAUUGGUUGCCAUGGGGACCUUGGAUGCAUAACUAUAGCAGGAGAAAGAAGGCUUGAAGCUAAAGAAACAGGACUCCAAGUAGGCCCUGACGCUCACCCUCUGUAUAUAUUCAUAAGGAGCUUGUGAGAACACAAGAUUUUGCUGAACACAUUAAUACAAUUUAUUAUCACAAUCCUCAAAACACCCCAUAAUAUCUUCAAUGAGCUGAAUUUUUCAAGCCCAGAAUGGUUUCUGUAGCUCAAAGUUUGUGGGUGGAGAUAGGUGGUGAAGCAGACACAUAUUAACUGUGUGUACAAGCAGCUGAACUGCAAGGUAGACCUGACAAAGCAACAAGUACAAGAAUGUGUGUGUGUGUGUGUGUGUGUGUGUCUCAUUAAUGACUGCAUCCCUAACAGCUGUGAGAUCAAAGGCAAAUCACUGACCUACUGUUUGAAUGAGAAGCAGCUGAACAGCAGAGGAUUUGAAGCCUGUGAACUUCUUCACAUAGCGUGAUUUCCUUAAGUCCCAGAAUGAAAAUAAGAACAUCGUACGAAUCCUCCGUCCUUCAUGAACACAAUGAUGUGUUUUUCAUGUCUGUACUUCGAAAAAUGAGGCCACAACAGCGAGUUAAAAAAGUCUGAGCCUGAGCGAUGAUCCGGAUUUUCCUGGAGAAAAAUAACAUUAUGGUCAAUGGGAGACAUUUCCGCCUUCCUUGGACAGUUGGUCACCUGCUGGCCAAGGGGUACGAUUUAAUGAUUUGAAACCUCUUUUGUGAGAAGCAGGACACAUAUACCUCCAUUUUGAUCUAUUAUUUAUGGCUGUGGAGUGAGAUUUGUGGGCGUGGGAGCGAUAUAUUCGAGCGAGGUUGUGUUGAUCAGAGACGAGGUCUGCACUCUAGCUGAUGACAUCAUCACUCUAGCCUCUCCAAUACACCCCUAUUAUAAAGCCUGAAAUUUGCUGAAAACCGCAAGUUGCAUAAAGCUAAAUUGUGGAAAAACUGUAAAAGAUAGCACAAAAAGGUUAAUACAAUAUCAAUAGUCGACAAGACAAUGAACAUUUUAAAGCAAAAAUUAGGUCUCUAGGUGAAAGUAUGCUGAAGUUAUAAGGCUUAGAAGGUGGACGAAUAACAGGAAGAAUUGAAAGAUUUCCCCAUUCAUUUCUAUGGGAAAAAAAGUUUGGCACAAAAAGUGAAAAAUAAUAAAAAGUAUAAAGGGUAGAAAAGAGAAAAGUAAUAGCCAUCAUGUCCUGAAGGAGUGGAAUAGUUUAAAGUUUGAACGGUUGAAAUCGGACAAAGUUUGAAGGAGGAGAAGCGGUCCAAAGAAACGUAUGGGGAGAGUGUUAAGUAUAAUACUAGAAAAAUUGCAUUUCCUUGCAGAAAAUGCGUGGAAAUGCUGAGUGCUGAAAGCUGAAAGCUGAAAAAGCAAUGCUAAACUGCUAAUAAAACAUGGAGAAAUGUAUAAAUGUUAAAGCUGUUGAAGGGGUGUGAAAGAAAUGUAAGUUGGAUAAUUGAUUAAUUGGUUGAAGGACAAAUAGUAUGAAUAUGCUCUAUAAAAAGAAAUUUUAUUCAUGCUGAAAGAGGCUAGAAAAAUGUCUAAAAUUGCACAAAGUUUGAAUGAAGAAGGAAAUUGCCUCAAAAGGCAGGAAAGUGAGAAGUGGUAUAAGAUUAAUUUUUUAAGUAUUAGAAAGGUUUGAAUCAGUUUGAAUGAGUUCAAAUUAGUUUGAAAAAUUAAAUGAUAAAUCAUCACUGACUGACUUUUAAAAUGUGAAAAAUUUAAAUGAAUAACAAUCCUAAAUACACCCAAUAAUGUCCUCAAUGAGCUCAAAUUUUAAAGCCCUGAAUGGUUUCUGUAGGUCAAAGGUCAUGUGAGGAGAUAGGGGCUGAAGUUUUUUCAAGCGCUCUAGUAAAGGGUUUUAAGUGUCAUCCCCAGUGCUAUGUGUGCUGAGCCUGGCUUCAUGUGUCUCAUAUGGCCAUUAGAAGCAGCUUUCCAGUCAGCUGUGUGUCUCCAGGUGCACUAAUUGGUUGCCAUGGGGACCUUGGAUGCAUAACUAUAGCAGGAGAAAGAAGGCUUGAAGCUAAGGAAACAGGACUCCAAGUAGGCCCUGACGCUCAUCCUCUGUAUCUAUUCCUGAUAAGGAGCUUGUGAGAACACAAGACUCUGCUAAACACAUUAAUACAAUUUAUUAUCACAAUCCUCAAAACACCCCAUAAUAUCUUCAAUGAGCUGAAUUUUAGAAGCCCAGAAUGGUUUCUGUAGCUCAAAGUUUGUGGGUGGAGAUAGGUGGCGAAGCAGACACAUAUUAACUGUGUGUACAAGCAGCUGAACUGCAAGGUAGACCUCAUAAAGCAACAAGUACAAGAAUGUGUGUGUGUGUGUGUGUGUGUGUGUCUCGUUAAUGACUGCAUCCUAAACAGCUGUAAGAUCAAAGCCAUGAACUGACCUAUUGUUUGAAUGGAGAAGCUGCUGAACUGCAGUGAAUUUAGGGUUCUGAACUUCUUCACAUAGCACGAUUUCCUUAAGUCCCAGAAUGAAAAUAAGAACAUCGUACAAAUCCUCCGCCCUUCAUGAACACAAUGAUGUGUUUUUCAUGUCUGUACUCCGAAAAAUGUCGCCACAACAGCGAGUUAAAAAAGUCUGAGCCUGAGUGGCGAUAAGGAUUUUCUUGGAGAAAAAAUACAUUAGAGCCAAUGGGGAGAGAUUUCCGCCUAUUUGGACAGUUGGUCACCUGCUGGCCAAGGGGUAAGAUUUAAUGAUUUGAAACCUCUUUUGUGAGAAGCAGGACACAUAUACCUCCAUUUUGAUGUAUUUUUUAUGGCUGUGGAGUGAGAUUUGUGGGCGUGGGAGCGAUAUAUUCGAGCGAGGUUCUGUCGAUCAGGGAGGAGGUCUGCACUCUAGCUUUUCAAAUCAUCACUCUAGCCUCUCCAAUACACCCCUAUUAUAAAGCCUGAAAUUUGCUGAAAACCACAAGUUGCAUAAAGCUAAAUUGUGGAAAAACUGUAAAAGAUAGCACAAAAAGGUUAAUACAACAUCAAUAGUCGACAAGACAAUGAACAUUUUAAAGCAAAAAUGAGGUCUCUAGGUGAAAGUAUGCUGAAGUUAUAAGGCUUAGAAGGUGCACGAAUAACAGGAAGAAUUGGAAGAUUUCCCCAUUCAUUUCUAUGGGAAAAAAGUUUGGAACAAAAAGUGAAAAAUAAUAAAAAGUACAAAGGAUAGAAAGGAAAAAAAUACAAGCACACAUGUCCUGAUGGAGUGGAAUAGUUUAAAGUUUGAACGGUUGAAAUCGGACAAAGUUUGAAGGAGGAGAAGCGGUCCAAAGAAACGUAUGGGGAGAGUGUUAAGUAUAAUACUAGAAAAAUUGCAUUUCCUUGCAGAAAAUGCGUGGAAAUGCUGAGUGCUGAAAGCUGAAAAAGCAAUGCUAAACUGCUAAUAAAACAUGGAGAAAUGUAUAAAUGUUAAAGCUGUUGAAGGGGUGUGAAAGAAAUGUAAGUUGGAUAAUUGAUUAAUUGGUUGAAGGACAAAUAGUAUGAAUAUGCUCUAUAAAAAGAAAUUUUAUUCAUGCUGAAAGAGGCUAGAAAAAUGUCUAAAAUUGCACAAAGUUUGAAUGAAGAAGGAAAUUGCCUUAAAAGGCAGGAAGGUGAGAAGUGGCAUAAGUUUAAUUUUUUAAGUAUUAGAAAGGUUUGAAUCAGUUUGAAUCAGUUCAAAUUAGUUUGAAAAAUUAAAUGAUAAAUCAUCACUGAGUGACUUUAAAAUGUGAAAAAUCUAAAUGUAUAUAAAUCCUUAAUACACCCCCUAAUGUCCUCAAUGAGCUCAAAUUUUAAAGCCCUGAAUGGUUUCUGUAGGUCAAAGGUCAUGUGAGGAGAUAGGGGCUGAAGUUUUUUCAAGCUCUCUAGUAAAGGGUUUUAAGUGUCAUCCCCAGUGCUAUGUGUGCUGAGCCUAGCUUCAUGUGUCUCAUAUGGCCAUUAGAAGCAGCUUUCCAGUCAGCUGUGUGUCUCCAGGUGCACUAAUUGGUUGCCAUGGGGACCUUGGAUGCAUAACUAUAGCAGGAGAAAGAAGGCUUGAAGCUAAGGAAACAGGACUCCAAGUAGGCCCUGACGCUCAUCCUCUGUAUCUAUUCCUGAUAAGGAGCUUGUGAGAACACAAGACUCUGCUAAACACAUUAAUACAAUUUAUUAUCACAAUCCUCAAAACACCCCAUAAUAUCUUCAAUGAGCUGAAUUUUAGAAGCCCAGAAUGGUUUCUGUAGCUCAAAGUUUGUGGGUGGAGAUAGGUGGCGAAGCAGACACAUAUUAACUGUGUGUACAAGCAGCUGAACUGCAAGGUAGACCUCAUAAAGCAACAAGUACAAGAAUGUGUGUGUGUGUGUGUGUGUGUGUGUGUGUGUGUGUGUGUGUCUCGUUAAUGACUGCAUCCUAAACAGCUGUGAGAUCAAAGGCAAAUCACUGACCUACUGUUUGAAUGAGAAGCAGCUGAACUGCAGAGGAUUUAGAGGCUCUAAACUUCUUCACAUAGCGUGAUUUCCUUAAGUCACAGAAUGAAAAUAAGAACAUCGUACGAAUCCUCCGCCCUUCAUGAACACAAUGAUGUGUUUUUCAUGUCUGUACUUCGAAAAAAGAGGCCACAACAGCGAGUUAAAAAAGUCUGAGCCUGAGCGAUGAUCCGGAUUUUCUUGGAGAAAAAUAACAUUAUGGUCAAUGGGAGAGAUUUCCGCCUUAUUUGGACAGUUGGUCACCUGCUGGCCAAGGGGUAAGAUUAAAUGAUUUGAAACCUCUUUUGUGAGAAGCAGGACACAUAUACCUCCAUUUUGAUGUAUUUUUUAUGGCUCUGGAGUGAGAUUUGUGGGCGUGGGAGCGAUAUAUUCGAGCGAGGUUCUGUCGAUCAGAGACGAGGUCUGCACUCUAGCUGAUGACAUCAUCACUCUAAACUCUCCAAUACACACCCAUUAUAAAGCUUGAAAUUUGCUGAAAACCACAAGUUGCUUAAAGCUAAAUUGUGGAAAAACUGUAAGAGAUAUCAAAAAACUGAGUACAACUUUAAUAGUCGACAAUUGAGUGAACAUUUUAAAGCAAAAAUGAGGUCUCUAGGUGAAAGUAUGCUGAAGUUAUAAGGCUUUGAAGGUGGAAGAGUAAAAGGUAGAAUUUUAAGAUUUCCCCAUUGACUUCAAUGUUAAAAUUUUUGCACAAAAAGUUAAAAAUAUCAAAAAGUAUAAAGGGUAGAAGAGUGAAAAGUAAUAGCAAUAAUGUCCUGAAGGAGUGGAAUAGUUUAAAGUUUGAACGGUUGAAAUCGGACAAAGUUUGAAGGAGGAGAAGCGGUCCAAAAAAGGGACGGAAGAAUAAUAAGUUUAAUAAUAAUAAUAAUAAUAAAGAAACGGGAGAAUAACAAUAAGUGGAAAUGCUUAAUCAGCAUUUCCACUUAACUAGAAAAAUUGCAUUUCCUUGCAGAAAAUGCGUGGAAAUGCUGAGUGCUGAAAGCUAAAAAAGCAAUGCUAAACUGCUAAUAAAACAAGGAGAAAGGUAUAAAUGUUAAAGCUGUUGAAGAGGUGAAAAAGAAAUAUAAGUUGGAUAAAUGUUGAAAUUGUUGAAGGACAAAUAGUAUGAAUAUGCUCUAUGAAAGGAAAUUUUAUUCAUGCUGAAAGGGGCUAGAAAAAUGUCUGAAAUUGCACAAAGUUUGAAUGAAGAAGGAAAUUGCCUUAAAAGGCAGGAAGGCGAGAAGUGGCAUAAGUUUAAGUUGUAGUACUAGAAGUAGUAUAAGAGGUCAAGUCGUGAUACUAGUAGUCAUGUCAGCAGUAGAAGUAGAUUGAGAAUAAAAGAAGUAUAAGUCAAAGUAGUAGAGAAAGUAGAAAUAGUAGCAAUAGCAGCAGUAGAGAAAGUAGAAAAAGGAGCAAUAGCAGUUGAAGUAGAGGGGAAAGUACUAGUUUGACUGACAUUAGCAGUAGUUGUCGUACUUGAGGUAGGAUUUUGUUUGAAGGAUGGAGUAAUGCAUAAAUAUUAAAACUAAUUUAAAACAGGGAAAAUUUAAAUAAUGAAAAAUCCUCAAGUAUCAAAUGGUUUUUAAGUAUUAGAAAGGUUUGUAUCAGUUUGAAUGAGUUUAAAUUAGUUUGAAAAAUUAAAUGAUAAAUCAUCACUGAGUGACUUAUAAAAGUGAAAAUUUAAAUGAAUAUAAAUCAUGAAUACACCCCAUAAUGUCCUUAAUGAGCAUAAAUUUUAAAGCCCUGAAUGGUUUCUGUAGGCCAAAGUUCAUGUGAGGAGAUAGGGGCUGAAGUUUUUUCAAGCACUCUAGUAAAGGGUUUUAAGUGUCAUCCCCAGUGCUAUGCGUACUAAGCCUGGCUUCAUGUGUCUCAUAUGGCCAUUAGAAGCAGCUUUCCAGUCAGCUGUGUGUCUCCAGGUGCACAAAUUGGUUGCCAUGGGGACCUUGGAUGCAUAACUAUAGCAGGA